UUUGAAAGUCACACAGGAAAAACAAAACAGGCAGCCAUUACUGAGGCUGGUCUGCGCACACAGAACAGAGCCUUCCGACAACAGCAAAUGUCAGCGACGUCACACUCCCCCCCCCCAGAGCUAUUUACAGCCAGUGAAAUAUUGACAGAGUUCAAAUAUAAUGAUGAAAAUAAAAGGUAUCGAGGCAGCAGCAGCGACGCGCAGCUAUUCACAAGACAGCGUCGUAAACGGCUGUUAGCUUGCUCUGUGCCCUAAAUGCUAAUGCUGCCAGCCAUGUUUUUUUCUUUCCCUGCUAUUAUGGUCGGGUUGCCUUUGAUAGAAGAGCUCUUCACAAUCACAUAACGGAUCGGUACUACGAGACAUUCAAUACUGAAAAUUCAAGAUAAGGGCUUUGGUUGAGAAUCACAGGAGUGAGAAGUCCAUCCAGAGAAGCUGCCUCCAACAUCUUUUAGAGAAUUUGUCAGUACAUCCAACCGGCCUCACAACUGCAGACCACGUGUAACCACGCCAGCCCCGGACCGCCACAUCUGGCUUCUUCACCUGUGCGAUUGUCAGAGACCAGCCCCCCGGACAGCUGAUGAAACAGAGUAUUUCUGUCUGUAAUAAAGACCUUUUGUGGGGGGAAACAUUCUGAUUGGCUGGGCCUGGCUCCCCAGUGGGUGGGCCUAUGCCCCCCCAUGCCUGCGCCCUUGCCCAGUCAUGUGAAAUCCAUAGAUUAGUGCAUAAUUAAUUUCUUUCAAUUGACUGAUUUCCUUGUAUGAACUGUAAACUCAGUGAAAUUAUUGUUUUAAUAUUUUUGUUCAGUAUAGUAUGUUACAUUUCAUAUGGUAUGUAUUAAUUUAUGGAUAUCCAUCACCCAUUUCAUAUGUUACAAAUCACAAUUUGUAUGAUAUGUUUAGAAUUUGCAAAAAACAUGUUACGAAUUCUAGCUAGGUGGCUAAUGUUAAUUAGUAUUGGCUCGCAAAACUACCUCCAACUGUGGGUUUCCUUUGAACAUGAUAAUUUGGAUAGCCAUGCUAGCGUCGCCCCCAUGUGGGGGCCAGCAAGCAGGCUAAAUAGUGAGGUAACGGCCAAUCCAGUAGGGGAUAGAAAAUAUAGUGAGUUUGGAUUGGUCAAUAGACUUGUGGUAUAAGUUAAGCUUCUUCACGUCACCCAAUGGUCCCCCGACCACUUCGCUUCCCUCCAUUGAAAAUGAAGGGCUUUCAAAAUGUAAUCUCCACUUGUCAUCUUCUAUGGAAAACCACUUAACUUCCUUCAUACUGGACACAGAGACAAAAAUAGUAUUAACAAGUUAAUCUGACUCUGGGGGAGGUAGACAAGGGGCUUCCUUGCCAAAAAGCCCAAACGACCACUUUAAGGAAGUAUAUGACAUGAUUAACAGUCCACAAUAUGCAUCUGAGCGUGUCAAAAAGACAUAGGCUAUCUGAUGGACCAGAAUAGCCACACCCUAAAAAGCCCUCAUUUGACACUUUGUCUGUUGUGAUCCUGGUCUACUAGACUAGAAACAUAGUAAAAGAAAAUCCAGGAUACCCAAAUUAGUAUGAUAUGUUACGUUUGGUAUGGUUACGUGAGACAGGUGGUUACUUAAGGCAAAAAAUUAAAGUAGGGUGGUUGGUCGGGUGGGUGUAUAACGCAAACUUCUAGCUGAGAGUUCAAAUACUUACUACUUUUUAAGCUACUAUGCAUUUCUGCUAACCCUUCCCCUAAACAUUAACCUUUUUCUUUUUAGCUAACCCUUAAACCUAACUCCUAAAUGUAACUUUAACACUAAUCUCUAACACUAACGCUUAGCUAGUGUUAGCACAAAAAUUAUGUAUAAAAUGUUUAUUCAUUGUAUGUGUCUACAGAUGAUCCAAACAGAGCAGUAUCUUCUUAACCAUACAAUAAAAGUUUUCACAAAUUAAAAAGAGUGUUUGACACAUUGGAGUGAAAAAGCUGUGGCAUGUCAACUACCCAUUUACUCAAAGAACAGUGUAGAUGUACAUUUUGGUAACAGAAUGACGGUAAAAUCUUCCUCAGUUCGUGACCACGUUUUCCAAAAACUCUUAAAUAGCUACUCCAAAUUAACAUUCAAAGAUGUUUGAAGAAAGAAUGGGGUGUCAGCUAUGAUAGGACACCUUGAGCUGUGCUUUGUGACUACUAUUAAUUCCCAUUUUAGCCAAUUCAGUUGCAUUCAUUCUGUUGCCGACUUGGUAACAGAAUGACGCAUAUUAAAAUACCCUAUUGUGCAUCUUUCCCUUUCAAGACGAUUCGAUACGCAUCUACUUGAGAAACAUGGGCUCUGACAAUCCAGAAAUUAACACAUUCAUAGAUAAUUGUAAUAUUUCCAGAUUGCAAGUAAAUUCCUGAAACAAAACACAUUUGACUUAUUUCAAACUGGAUUAAAUAGAUGUGGUUUUCAGUAAUGGCUUUAUGGGAUAGCUAGCAACUUGUAAACAAUUACCCAUUCAUAUAAGUGAGAACUAUUUUAAUAGUAGUGUUAAAUAAUACACAUCGGCUGCUAAGCCAAUUAUAUGAGUGUGGCCUUCCAUUUCAAGUAUGAUGGUAAUGAAGUUCUUUAUCAUAAUUUUAGGUGGUGGUUGCUAGAUACAAUGGUAUCUUCAACCUAGCCUAGCAUUUAGCUAGCUAGCUGCAGUACAAGCUAGCUUGACUUGCUAGAAAGUUGGAGAAACAACUAACUAAUCAAAACAUGUUUUAUUAUCACCUGAAACAAACGACUCAAAUCCUUAGAUUACGUGUUUUUGCAAAGGAGGAGUAGAGUAGUUGACAUAUGCAAGAAUUUGUUUUUGUAAUUAGCCUAUUUCACAGCAAAGAAAGAGAAAGCUAGUGAGGAAGGGGGGAGGCACAGCCAGGAAUAUAGAUGAAGUCGGAAGUUUACAUACACCUUAGCCAAAUACAUUUAAACUCAGUUUUACAAUUCCUGACAUUUAAUCCUAGUAAAAAUUCCCUGUCUUACGUCAGUUAGAAUCACCACUUUGUUUCAAGAAUGUGAAAUGUCAGAAUAGAGAUUUAUUUCAGCUUUAAUUUCUUUCAUCACAUUCCAAGUGGGUCAGAAUUCUACAUACACUCAAUUAGUAAAUCGGUAGCAUUACUUUUACAUUGUUUAAAUUGGGUAAAAAUGUUUUUGGUAGCCUUCCACAAGAUCCCCACAAUAAGUUGGGUGAAUUUUGGCCCAUUCCUCCUGACAGAGCUGAUGUACCAGAGUCAGGUUCGAGGGCCUCCUUGCUCGCAUCGCACAUGCUUUUCCAGAUGUGCCCAAAACUUUUCUAUGGGAUUGAGGUCAGGGCUUUGUGAUGGCCACUCCAAUACCUUGACUUUGUUGUCCUUAAGCCAUUUUGCCACAACUUUGGAAGUAUACUUGGGGUCAUUGUCCAUUUGGAAGACCCAUUUGCAACCAAGCUUCAACUUCCUGACUGAUGUCUUGAGAUGUUGCUUCAAUAUAUCCACAUCAUUUUCCAGCCUCAUGAUGCCAUCUCUUUUGUGAAGCGCACCAGUCCCUCCUGCAGCAAAGCAACCCCACACAUGCUGCCACCCCCGUGCUUCACGGUUGGGAUGGUGUUCUUCGGAUUGCAAGUCUCCCCCAUUUUCCUCCAAAUAUAACGAUGGUCAUUAUGGCCAAACAGUUCCAUUUUCCUAUCAUCAGACCAAAGGACAUUUCUCCAAAAAUUAUAUUUGCCCCCAUGUGCAGUUGCAAACUGUAGUCUGGCUUUUUUUAAUGGCGGUUUUGGGGCAGUGGCUUCUUCCUUGCUGAGCGACCUUUCAGAUUAUGUCAAUUUAGGACUCGUUUUACUGUGGAUAUAGAUACGUUUGUACCGGUUUCCUCCAGCAUCUUCACAAGGUCCUUUGCUGUUGUUCUGGGAUUGAUUUGCACUUUUCACACCAAAGUGUGUUCAUCUCUAGGAGACCGAACGUGUCUCCUUCCUGACCGGUAUGAUGGCUGCGUGGUACUAUGGUGUUUAUGCUUGCAUACUACUGUUUGUACAGAUGAACGUGGUACCUUCAGGCGUUUGGAAAUUGCUCCCAAGGAUGAACCAGACUUGUGAAGGUCUACAAAAGGAAUUGCUUGGCUGAUUUCUUUUGAUUUUCCCAUGAUGUCAAGCAAAGAGGCACGAAGUCUGAAGGUAGGUCUUGAAAUACAUCCACAGGUACACAUCCAAUUGACUCAAAUUAUGUCAAUUAGACUAUCAGAAGCUUCUAAAGCCAUGACAUCUUUUUCUGGAAUUUCCCAAGCCAUUUAAAGACACAGUCAACUAAGUGUAUGUAAACUUCUGACCCACUGGAAUUGUGAUACAGUGAAUUAUGAGUGAAAUAAUCUGUCUGUAAACAAUUGUUGGAGAAAUUACUUGUGUCAUGCACAAAGUAGAUGUCCUAACAGACUUGCCAAAACAAUAGUUUGUUAACAAGAAAUUUGUGGAGUAGUUGAAAGACGAGUUAAUGGCUCCAACCUAGGUGUACGUAAACUUCCGAGUUCAACUGUAGUUGUAGCCACCAGGCAGACAGUCGGAACCGUGCAUCGGUAAAUCAAAAGCUGUAGGCCUUUAGAAGAAAGAGCAAGCUAGUGAGGAAAGGAGGUAGGAAGGGGGUACAGCCAGGCAUAGGAACUGUAGGCAGUGCUGCAUCUCGCAAUUUUGGGACUUGCAAUGGCUAGUGAAUUCACUAAAAGUAGAGGCUAUCAAAUGAGGAGGCUGAGCUAUUCUACACGCAACAGGCCAAAGACUGAACACACCUUUCUUUGAGAAAAGAAAGAGCAGGCAAGCUAGCAAAAGGAGGUGCCGGCAUAGUCGGAACCGUGCACAUUGGCUAUAUCUUGGUCAUCUAUAUCUAGUCUUACAAUGCCUAGUAAGUUCACCAAAAGUAUAUAUUAGGCUAUCACUGAGUAUGGCUAAGCCAUUUUACAUGGUGCCAGUGAAUUGAAGUUGAUUAUUACCAAAUUAGUCAGUUUAAUUAGGCCUAAAUGUGCAACAAGAAAAAUAGGCCUAUUGUACCUAUAGAUUAUUUCAAAUAAAACCACAGCUGGCUGUUGAUGUCCUAGGCAAUAGAUCUUAAAGCAGGGCAUCCCCGCUAAAUGUUUUGUAAAUGGCAAGUUCACUUUCUGGGCCAUAAAAGCAUCACGCGCAGCUACUGUUCAGCACCACAAACCAGAAGAGGGGAGGGGGCAUUUGUUAGGAAGGACGUCUUCCAUUGAUAACUGAAAUAAUGGCACUUCCUCAAUUUUUAAAUAUUAUGGAAACAUCUAUACAAAUACCGGCACAUAGAAUAAAAACCUCCAGGUUUCCAGCAUAAAAUUUUUAAAUGACAUGGGGGCAGUUUGGAAACUGAGUCGGCAUCUGGAAUAAUGCACAUGCUUGGAUAAUUACUUAACCAACAUCUCUAGUAAUAAUAGUUUCAUCCAAUAGGGCUAUAUAACACAGAAAAUAGUCUUUUCAGCGUAGAGUGCGCCACAUGGGAUCUGUCAAAGCGGCGCACGGCAGAAAUAUUCUAGUUCCUACACAUCUACAUUCAAACAAAAUAAGCCUUUUAUAGGCUAAGUUGAUAAGCAAAUACAAUGCUUCAUACCAGUCCUCUCUAGAACGCAAUAUUAGUCUUGGUAGGACUGCAAUAAUGAGGUGGUGUGUACGUAUGCACAGCCUUUCAAUAUGUUUUGGGCGUCAAGCAAGAGUCGCCUGUGCUUAGCUCAAGUGGGUUUAUUUUUUAUCCUGAAAAACUCCACAGCCCUUAACGAUUACAAGCAUACUCAUAACCUGAUGUAGUCACCACUAUACUUAAAUAUAGAGAGUGGUACUCAGUAAUGUGUUGUAUUUGCACCAAACACUAUGUAUUCGGGACAAAAAGUGAAUUGCUUCGUCACAUUCUUUGCAGUAUUACUUUAGUGCUUUGUUGCAAACAGGAUGCAUGUUUUGGAAUAUUUGUAUUCUGUACAGGCUUCCUUUUCACUCUGUCAAUUAAGUUAGUAUUGUGGAGUAACUGAGCCAUCCUCAGUUCUCCCCUAUCACAGCUGUUAAAGUCUGUUUUAAAGUCACUAUUGGCCUCAGUGAAAUCCCUGAGUGGUUUCCUCCCUCUCCGGAAACAGUUAGGAAGGAUGCCUGUAUCUUUGUAGUGACGGUGUAUUGAUGCACCAUUCAAAGUGGAAUUAAUAACAUUAUUAUUAUUAUAUUAUCACCAUGCGCAAAGGGAUAUUCAAUGUCUGCUUUUUUUUUCUCUAUUUUUACCCAGGCAUUGGGUAUUUUUACUGAGGCAUUGGAGAACCUCCCUGGUCUUUGUGGUUGAAUCUGUUUGAAAUGUAGUGCUCAACUGAGGGACCUUACAGAAAAUCGAAUGUGUGGUACAGCAAUUAGGUUUUCAUCCACAAAUUAUGUUAAACUGGGGUGGCGGGGGAGGCAGUGGUCAGAGCGUUGGGCCAAAGGUUGCUGUAUUGAAUCCCUGAGCUGACAAUGUAAAAAUCUGUCGUUCUGCCCCUGAACAAGGCAGUUGACCCACUGUUCCCCGGUAAGCCGUCAUUUAAACAAGAAUUUGUUUUCGUCCUGCCAACAUUGUAAAUAAAAAAUAAAUUAAAUUGAAACACUA